rnacentral:ncRNA from 2 species
AUGAAUCUUCGGGGUUAGGUGAAAUUCCUUACCGGCGGUGAUGAUUGAGUGUUAAUCGUAGCCCGCGACUCUUUUAUCGUGAUGAUUUUGAUAAAAGACUGACUUGGUGUGAAUCCAAGGCCGACGGUUAAAGUCCGGAUGGGAGGAGAUCGAA